GAUGAACACUGGCGGCGUGCCUAAUACAUGCAAGUCGAGCGAACAGACGAGGAGCUUUCUCCUCUGCCGUUAGCGGCGGACGGGUGAGUAACACGUGGAUAACCUACCUAUCAGCCUGGUAUAACUUCGGGAAACCGGAGCUAAUACCGGAUGAUAUAUUGCACCGCAUGGUUCAAUAGUUAAAGGCGGUUUUGCUGUCUCUUAUAGAUCGAUCCGCGCCGCAUUAGCUAGUUGGUAAGGCAACGGCUUACCAAGGCGCCGAUGGGUAGCCGACCUGAGAGGUGAAUCGGCAAAACGGGAACUGAGACACGGUCAAGACUCCUACGGGAGGAGGAAGUAGGGAAUUUUCGGAAUUGGGCGAAAGCCUGACGGGGAAAGGCCGCGUGGGGGAUGAAGGUCUUCGGAUCGUAAAACUCUGUUAUUAGGGAAGAACAAAUGUGUAAGUAACUAUGCACGUAUUGACGGUACCUAAAAAGAAAGCCACGGCUAACUACGUG
rnacentral:rRNA from 1 species